UGAACAAGGUAUCCGUUGGUGAACCAGCGGAGGGAUCAUUAGCGAGUUAUUCAACUCAUCAACCCUGUGAACUUACCUAAACGUUGCUUCGGCGGGAACAGACGGCCCUGUAAAACGGGCCGCCCCCGCCAGAGGACCCCUAACUUUGUUUCUAUUAUGUUUCUUCUGAGUAAAACAAGCAAAUAAAUUAAAACCUUCACCAAGGGCUCUCUUGGCUCUGGCAUCGAUGAAGAACGCAGCGAAAUGCGAUAAGUAAUGUGAAUUGCAGAAUUCAGUGAAUCAUCGAAUCUUUGAACGCACACUGCGCCCGCCAGUAUUCUGGCGGGCAUGCCUGUUCGAGCGUCAUUACAACCCUCAGGCCCCCGGGCCUGGCGUUGGGGAUCGGCGGAGCCCCCCCGUGGGCACACGCCGUCCCCCAAAUACAGUGGCGGUCCCGCCGCAGCUUCCAUCGCGUAGUAGCUAACACCUCGCGACUGGAGAGCGGCGCGGCCACGCCGUAAAACACCCAACUCUUCUGAAGUUGACCUCGAAUCAGG
rnacentral:rRNA from 1 species